AAUAUUGCACAAUGGGCGCAAGCCUGAUGCAGCAACGCCGCGUGAAUGAUGAAGGCCUACGGGUCGUAAAGUUCUUUGAUCAGGGAUGAUAAUGACAGUACCUGUACAACAAGCUACGGCUAACUUCGUCCCAGCAGCCGCGGUAAUACGUAGGUGGCGAGCGUUGUCCGGAAUUACUGGGCGUAAAGGAUGCGUAGGUGGAUACUUAAGUGGGAUGUGAAAUCCCCGGGCUCAACCCGGGAACUGCAUUCCAAACUGGGUAUCUAGAGUGCAGGAGAGGAAAGCGGAAUUCCUAGUGUAGCGGUGAAAUGCGUAGAUAUUGGGAGGAACACCAGUGGCGAAGGCGGCUUUCUGGACUGUAACUGACACUGAGGCAUGAAAGCGUGGGUAGCAAACAGG
rnacentral:rRNA from 1 species